GCCCCGGUAGUAUAACCUAUUACUUUGGUCUUGUAAACCAAAAAUGAAGCUUUAACGCUUCCCGGGACA
rnacentral:tRNA from 1 species